rnacentral:tRNA from 1 species
GGAGAAGUACUCAAGAGGCCAAAGAGGCGCCCCUGCUAAGGGUGUAGGCUGGGAAACUGGUGCGAGAGUUCGAAUCUCUCCUUCUCCG